UCCUGGCUCAGGAUGAACGCUAGCUACAGGCUUAACACAUGCAAGUCGAGGGGAAACGAUAGAGAAAGCUUGCUUUUUUCUAGGCGUCGACCGGCGCACGGGUGAGUAACGCGUAUCCAACCUGCCCAUCACUUGGGGAUAACCUUGCGAAAGUAAGACUAAUACCCAAUGACGUCUCUAGAAGACAUCUGAAGGAGAUUAAAGAUUUAUCGGUGAUGGAUGGGGAUGCGUCUGAUUAGCUUGUUGGCGGGGUAACGGCCCACCAAGGCGACGAUCAGUAGGGGUUCUGAGAGGAAGGCCCCCCACAUUGGAACUGAGACACGGUCCAAACUCCUACGGGAGGCAGCAGUGAGGAAUAUUGGUCAAUGGACGAGAGUCUGAACCAGCCAAGUAGCGUGCAGGAUGACGGCCCUAUGGGUUGUAAACUGCUUUUAUAAGGGAAUAAAGUGAGUCUCGUGAGACUUUUUGCAUGUACCUUAUGAAUAAGGACCGGCUAAUUCCGUG
rnacentral:rRNA from 1 species